GACGAACGCUGGCGGCGUGCUUAACACAUGCAAGUCGAACGGACAGGCCCUGCUUUUGCGGGGUGCUCGAGUGGCGAACGGGUGAGUAAAACGUGAGUAACCUGCCCUUGACUUUGGGAUAACUUCAGGAAACUGGGGCUAAUACAGGAUAGGAGCUCCUGCUGCAUGGGGGGGGUUGGAGAGUUUCGGCGGUUGGGGCUGGACUCGCGGCUUAUGAGCUGGUUGGGGGGGUAGUGGAUUACCAAGUCUUUGACGGGUAGGCGGCCUGAGAGGGUGGCCGGCCUCCAGGCUCCUACGGGACGGCGCAGUCUCGAAUGUUCGGCAGUGGUGGGGAGUAUGACAGAGUGGCGCCGCGUCAGUUGUAGCGGCCCUGCGUGCGUAAUGCCCGCCUAUUGGUUAAGAACCACUUUCUCCGGAAACGAGGCGGUCUUGACGGUAAUGAGUAAGGAAGCACCGGCUAACUACGUG
rnacentral:rRNA from 1 species